GCUGGGUGUGGUGGUGAGUGCCUGUAAUCCCAGCUACUUGGGAGGCUGAGGCGGGAGGAUCACCUGAGCCCAGGGAGUUUGAGGCUGCAGUGAGCCGAUUGUGCCACUGUUCUCCAGCCUGGGUAACAGAAUGAGACCCUGUCUUUU
ensembl:misc_RNA Metazoa_SRP Metazoan signal recognition particle RNA